GCCCGCCUAGCUCAAUCGGAUAGAGCGUCAGACUCUUAGAGCGCCAGGCGGUUUGGUGAUCUGAAGGCUGCGAGUUCGACCCUCGCGGUGGGCU